GGAGCCGACUGUGCCGGUUGAGCCGUUGCCGGCCUGUCACGCCGGAGGCCCGGGUUCGAGUCCCGUCGCUCCC
rnacentral:tRNA from 1 species